rnacentral:rRNA from 1 species
UGUCCUCUAAAUAAGGACCAGCAUGAAUGGCAACAUGAGAAAGAACCUGUCUCUUUAGGCUAGUCAGUGAAACUGAUCUGCCUGUACAAAAGCAGGCAUGUAAAAACAAGACAAAAAGACCCUGUGAAACUUUAAAUGCCCUUCAACCAUAUGACAGGGCAUUUUUCGGUUGGGGCAACCAAUGAGAAACAAACCUCAUAAAAUCAUGAGGCACACAAGCCAAUUGAACACAAAAGAUCCAGUACUACUGAUCUAAGGACAAAGCUACUCCAGGGAUAACAGCGCCACAUUCUUAAAGAGUCCAUAUCAACAAGAAUAUCUACGACCUCGAUGUUGGAUCAGGGCACCCAAAUGGCGCAAAAGCUAUUAAAGGUUCGUUUGUUCAACGAUUAAAGC